rnacentral:rRNA from 1 species
CUAAGGUGGAGCAUACUCCCGGGAAACUGGGGCUAAUUCUCCAUAGUGGAUGUAUCCUGGAAUGGUAUAUCCUCGAAAGAUCCGUCGCCUUAGGAUGGGACUGCGUCCGAUUAGGUUGUUGGCGGGGUAACGGCCCACCAAGCCAUUGAUCGGUACGGGUUGUGGGAGCAAGAUCCCGGAGAUGGAUUCUGAGACAUGAAUCCAGGCCCUACGGGGCGCAGCAGGCGCGCAAACUUUACAAUGCGAGCAAUCGUGAUAAGGAAACCCUGAGUGCCUGUCGAUGCAGGCUGUUCAUAUAUCUAAAUCAUAUGUGAAGAAAGGGCAGGGCAAGACCGGUGCCAGCCGCCGCGGUAAUACCGGCUGCUCGAGUGAUGGCCACUAUUACUGGGUUUAAAGCGUCCGUAGCUUGACUGUUAGGUCUCUUGGGAAAUCUUCGCGCUCAACGUGAAGGCGUCUAAGAGAUACCGGCAGUCUUGGAACUGGGAGAGGUAAACCGUACUUCGGGGGUAGGAGUGAAAUCUUGUAAUCCUCGAGGGACGACCUAUGGCGAAGGCAGUUUACCAGAACAGCUUCGACAGUGAGGGACGAAAGCUGGGGGAGCAAACGGGAUUAGAUACCCCGGUAGUCCCAGCCGUAAACAAUGUGCGUUAGGUGUGUCGGUAACCACGUGUUACUGAUGCGCCGAAGAGAAAUCGUGAAACGCACCACCUGGGAAGUACGGUCGCAAGGCUGAAACUUAAAGGAAUUGGCGGGGGAGCACCACAACAGGUGGAGCCUGCGGUUUAAUUGGAUUCAACGCCGGG